rnacentral:ncRNA from 1 species
CCCACUGAAUUUAAGCACACUAGUUAGUGGAGAAGAAACUUAACAAGGAUUCCCUCAGUAACAGCAAGUGAACAUGGAAGAGCCCAGUGCUAAACCUCUGCCCCACAGUGGGGGUGUUGGAAAUGUGGCAUAGAGAAGACCCACUCCCCACUGCUGCUUAUAGCACCCAAGUCCUUCUGAUUGAGGCCCAGCCUGAUGAUGGUAUAAGGCCAGAAGCAGGCUCUGGUGCACUGGGCCUGGGCAUUAUUGGGGCCAUGUUGCUUGAGAAUGUACCCCAAAGUGGGUAGUAAACUCCAUCUACUAAGGCUAAAUACGUGCACAAAAUUGAUAGUCAACAAGAACCAUAAGG